GUCUGGCGGCCAAUGAGAGCGCGUGCAGGAAGCUGCGGGAGGCCCUGGACAGUGGACAGGAGGUCCCUCUGGAGAGCCAGCGGCCACAUCUGCUGGCUGCCCUCUUGAAGGACUUCCUGCGCAAGAUCCCCUCCAAGCUCCUCGGCGUGGAGCUCUACCAGCAGUGGAUGAGCACCCUGCAGAAGCCCAGCAGGCAGGAGAAGCUGGAGGGGCUGAAAGAGGUGGCCAGCAAGUUGCCAAGGCCAAACCUCCUGCUGCUGAAGAGCUUGCUGGCCUUGAUGGCUAACAUCAGCCAGGGGGAGGCCACCAGCAGAAUGUCCCUCAAGAACCUGGCCAUAUGUGUAGGGCCAAACCUCCUCAGCC